GCACUGCUGAAGAGUCCCAUACUAGGACGAAACGGCCGUCCAGUGA
rnacentral:hammerhead_ribozyme from 1 species